rnacentral:misc_RNA from 1 species
GAAAUGCGAUAAGUAAUGUGAAUUGCAGAAUUCAGUGAAUCAUCGAAUCUUUGAACGCACAUUGCGCCCGCCAGCACUCUGGCGGGCAUGCCUGUUCGAGCGUCAUUUCAACCCUCAGAACCCCUUGCGGGAUCUGGCGUUGGGGAUUGGCAUCCAGCCAGCCCCGAAAUCUAGUGGCGGUCCCUCCGUGACCUCCCCUGUGCAGUAGCGAUACCUCGCAGCGGGACAGCGGUCUGACCACGCCGUAAAACCCCCAACUUCGCAAGGUUGACCUCGAAUCAGGUAGGAAUACCCGCUGAACUUAAGC